rnacentral:rRNA from 1 species
AUACGGAGGGGGCUAGCGUUGUUCGGAAUUACUGGGCGUAAAGCGCGCGUAGGCGGUCCGUUUAGUUAGGCGUGAAAGGCCUGGGCUCAACCCGGGAACUGCGUUUGAUACUGCGGAACUAGAGAUCGGGAGAGGGUAGUGGAAUUCCCAGUGUAGAGGUGAAAUUCGUAGAUAUUAGGAAGAACACCAGUGGCGAAGGCGGCUUACUGGCUCGAUACUGACGCUGAGGUGCGAAAGCGUAGGGAGCAAACAGGAUUAGAAACCCCGGUAGUCC